AGUUUUAUUAAAACAUAAAAAUGUUUAAAAUAUUAGUACAGAAUUUAUAUAAAAGCUCGUGCGAAACGCUUUCGACACCUGCAGCUGCUACUGCUUGUGUGAAAAAUUUAUUGAUUUCAUCACCAGUAACAAAAAAUACUUCUUCAUCACAACGACGCCAUUUUCUUUUUUCUUCUACAAACAGAAAUCAAAUUUUUGCUUUUCCAACUAUCAACAGCAGUGAAGUGAAGGAGCCAAAAAUCUGCACAAAAUUGAAUCAGCAGCAACAAAGCAAAAAGCAGAUUUAUCAAAAAGUAUUCAAUCACAGCGGAAUACAGCAGAGCUCCAUCAGUAGCAACUUCUAUAGAGGAUUUCAUCUAACCUGUAUAAGACUCUUAGAAGCGGAAACACUUCCAGCGGAAAAGCAAGCAUCUAAAACCAAAAGGAAUAGUUUAUAUAUAGACCCAGACGAAGAAGAUUAUUUAGAUACAAUGGCACCUCAUGAUAAAAAUUUCAGUGGUUCACGCGGAGGAGCACGUGGUGGUGAUGAUAGACGUGGUGGCGGUGGUGGUGGUGGUUCAGGAGGGUCUGGCGCCGCUAAAAGUGGUGGUUCACGAUUUGGUGGAGAAUCAUCGUAUCAUGGUGUACGUAAUGGUCGCAUUGAGAAAAAUCGUGAUCGUAGACCAAUGGGUGGUGGUAAUGGUGGACGUAAUGAAGGCGGUAAUUAUGGCGGUGGUAGCUAUGGCGGCGGCAGUUAUGGCGGUAAUAGCUAUGGCAAUAGCGGUGGUUAUGGUGGUGGCGGCUAUGGUGGUGCCAAAAGCAAUAACAAUACUGGUGGCGGUCAAGACUUAACACUCACCAGUGUUGAUUUUUCUAAUUUGGCACCAUUUAAGAAGAAUUUCUAUCAAGAACAUCCAGGUGUAGCCAAUCGUGCGCCAUAUGAAGUACAACGCUAUCGUGACGAACACGAAAUCACUGUCCGUGGUAAUGCCGGCAAUCCGAUACAAGAUUUUAGCGAAGCAUAUUUUCCUGACUAUGUAACCAAAGAAAUUCGUCGACAAGGUUAUAAGACACCAACACCAAUUCAAGCUCAAGGUUGGCCAAUUGCUAUGAGUGGACAAAAUUGUGUUGGUAUAGCCAAGACAGGAUCUGGCAAAACAUUGGGUUACAUUUUACCCGCUAUUGUACACAUUAAUAAUCAACAACCAUUACAACGUGGCGACGGACCCAUCGCUUUAGUUUUGGCUCCAACACGAGAGUUGGCACAGCAAAUACAACAAGUCGCUUCCGAAUUUGGUUCCUCAUCGUAUGUGCGUAAUACUUGUGUAUUUGGUGGCGCACCAAAGGGCGGACAAAUGCGUGAUUUGCAACGUGGUUGUGAAAUUGUAAUUGCAACACCUGGCCGAUUAAUCGAUUUCCUCGCUGCUGGCGCAACUAAUUUAAAGCGUUGUACUUAUCUGGUAUUAGACGAAGCUGAUCGUAUGUUGGAUAUGGGUUUCGAACCACAAAUACGUAAAAUUCUCUCACAAAUUCGCCCUGAUCGGCAGACACUUAUGUGGUCCGCUACUUGGCCCAAAGAAGUUAAACAAUUGGCUGAAGAUUUCCUUGGCAAUUAUGUGCAAAUUAAUAUUGGUUCUCUGGAAUUGUCAGCCAAUCACAAUAUACGUCAAGUUGUUGAAAUUUGCGAGGAACACGAUAAGGAAGAUAAAUUAAAAGAUUUGCUAUCUGAAAUAUAUGACACAAGUGAAAAUCCUGGUAAAAUUAUCAUAUUCGUUGAAACAAAAAGGCGCGUAGACCAGUUGGUGCGUUUCAUACGCAGCUUUGGCGUACGCUGCGGCGCUAUACACGGCGAUAAGUCACAAUCCGAACGUGAUUUCGUGUUGCGCGAAUUUCGUUCUGGUAAAUCUAACAUUUUGGUAGCCACUGAUGUAGCCGCCCGUGGUCUCGAGGCCGAUUAUUGUUGUAUGGUGGGGAUAAACUAUGAACUAGUAAUAAUCUGAUACAAUUUAAAUGCGAACUUUCCGAUUUGAAAAGAGUAUUAUAUUCUAAAAAUAAUUAAAUGGAAUUUGAUUAACAAAGAGAAAGUUCAGAUUCAGAUUCAGAUUAAGAGUGUGUAACGAUGGCGACGGCAACACUUUUACCACUCGCCAUUGGAAAAAGGAUGUCGUAUCGCAUGCUUAUUUAAAUAUGCUGUGUUUUUUUGCUGUAAUGUGGAGACGGAGGUAUAUUGAAUAUGCGGCAAUACGCUUAAUAGCAACUUUAACAGUGCAAAUAAAGCGUACCUCAACUCUACAGCUGUAUAUAUUAAAAUAUACCUUGAAUCCUAUUGCGCAAACCUAGACGAUAUCCGCAUAAAGUAAAAAAUCAUUUGAUAUUCUUUUCAAUUAUUAUUGAUUGCACUAAGAUUCGUAGCUUGGUGUAAUAAUUGUGUAUAACGUAUCGCGAUAGUUAAUGUAUCCCUAUCAUCACGCAUCAUAUGUGGCCUCUGCUGACCCACUGUAAAGUCCGGGGUAUUAGUGGGAUCUAAUGAAAGCGUAAUUUGUUUAAAUAUUACAAGAGCUUACGGUCGUUUCAUACACACACAUAAACAAUUGGAGUGCAAAAAGUGAGAGAAAGAGAAUAAGAGAGCAAAAGAGAGAGAAAGAAAAGCCUGAAAGCCACGUUUAUAAGUUUUAGAAUUUGUAAAACGUGUUCUUAAAUAUUAACGGCGUUGUUUUUAAUUAUUAUAUUUGUUACCAGAACUCUCUCAGCAAUGUACUCCAGCUCUAACGUUUUCAGAUCACACGCAGGCACUUGAAACGGAUUUUAAAAAUGCAUCUCCUACGAACGCUCUCUAAGCAUGUAAAAACCCGAUGUGUUCUUUGCCAAUAAUGAAAAUUGUGUUAAUUUUUUUUUUUUUUGUAAACAAAAAUAUAAUGAACUUUUCGUUAAACAAAUUGUUAUUUAACAACUUUUAAUAAAUCGCGUUUAACCGAUGUAGUUUAAAGAAAAAAAUGAAAAUUUGCCUUUAAAAACAGUGACGUACAAAACGAAAAAAAAAAAAGAAGAAAAGUAAAGGCGACGUAAUGGUUUGGACGGCGUAACACAAAUGUUGAGAAGCUGUUGCUGUUAUUUGAUCUAUACGUCAUGGAACAUCACCAUCACAUCAUCAUUUGCAACGUCCAGAAACAACGUCGUCUCAUCGAAAGGCAAAUGGACUUGUUUUUAUAAAGAUUGUAAACUGCAUCAUUGCCAACAUAAAAUAAACAUAAAUCAACAAAGGACACAUUUGGCCAGCUGCGAUAAUAAAGCGACGGAAAUGCAUAACCAUACUAAAGUCUACAUAAUGCCUGUGUUAGUGAUAAUGUUGGCGUACACAAAAGUCUACACUUUCUAUAGAUGUUGUGCGCUAAUCAAUUUUUCGAAUCGUUCUACGACUGAUUCGGUUCAAACGUCUGAUAUUGUGUGUUGUUUAGCAAAAGAUUGUUUAGAUGUUUAGAAUUUACUACUACUACAUUUGGCUCUUUUCAUCGUUAACGACAAUAAUUGCGACGAGAAGAGUUUCAUAUAUAUAUAAAGCACUAAGAUGUUGAUGGCAUUAAGUAUGUCAUUAAUUUUGAUUACCCACAAUCAUCUGAGGAUUAUAUACAUCGUAUUGGAAGAACUGGUCGUUCAAAUACAAAAGGCACUUCAUAUGCAUUCUUUACCAAAAAUAAUGUCAAACAAUCCAGAGCUUUGGUUGAUGUGUUAAAAGAGGCUAAUCAGGAUAUAAAUCCAGCACUU